UACGAAGGGGGCUAGCGUUGUUCGGAAUUACUGGGCAUAAAGGGUGCGUACGCGGCUUGUUAAGUCAGGGGUGAAAGUUUUCGGCCCAACCGGAAAAUUGCCUUUGAUACUGGCGAGCUCGAGUGCGUGAGGGGUAACCGGAACGAGCAGUGUAGCGGUGAAAUGCGUAGAGAUCCGGAAGAACACCAGUGGCGAAGGCGGCCCGCUGGGCAGUGGCUGACGCUGAGGCGCGACAGCGUGGGGAGCAAACAGG
rnacentral:rRNA from 1 species